rnacentral:rRNA from 1 species
UGGGGAAUAUUGCACAAUGGGCGCAAGCCUGAUGCAGCCAUGCCGCGUGUAUGAAGAAGGCCUUCGGGUUGUAAAGUACUUUCAGCGAGGAGGAAGGCGUUGUGGUUAAUAACCGCAACGAUUGACGUUACUCGCAGAAGAAGCACCGGCUAACUCCGUGCCAGCAGCCGCGGUAAUACGGAGGGUGCAAGCGGUAAUCGGAAUUACUGGGCGUAAAGCGCACGCAGGCGGUCUGUCAAGUCGGAUGUGAAAUCCCCGGGCUCAACCUGGGAACUGCAUCCGAAACUGGCAUGCUAGAGUCUUGUAGAGGGGGGUAGAAUUCCAGGUGUAGCGGUGAAAUGCGUAGAGAUCUGGAGGAAUACCGGUGGCGAAGGCGGCCCCCUGGACAAAGACUGACGCUCAAGUGCGAAAGCGUGGGGAGCAAACA